rnacentral:rRNA from 2 species
AGCCCGAAUCCCGUUGAUGAUCGGUGCUUGCACCGAGAUUCAACAUGGAACGAGUGGCGGACGGGUGAGUAACACGUGGGUAACCUGCCCUUAAGUGGGGGAUAACAUUUGGAAACAGAUGCUAAUACCGCAUAGAUCCAAGAACCGCAUGGUUCUUGGCUGAAAGAUGGCGUAAGCUAUCGCUUUUGGAUGGACCCGCGGCGUAUUAGCUAGUUGGUGAGGUAAUGGCUCACCAAGGCGAUGAUACGUAGCCGAACUGAGAGGUUGAUCGGCCACAUUGGGACUGAGACACGGCCCAAACUCCUACGGGAGGCAGCAGUAGGGAAUCUUCCACAAUGGACGCAAGUCUGAUGGAGCAACGCCGCGUGAGUGAAGAAGGCUUUCGGGUCGUAAAACUCUGUUGUUGGAGAAGAAUGGUCGGCAGAGUAACUGUUGUCGGCGUGACGGUAUCCAACCAGAAAGCCACGGCUAACUACGUGCCAGCAGCCGCGGUAAUACGUAGGUGGCAAGCGUUAUCCGGAUUUAUUGGGCGUAAAGCGAGCGCAGGCGGUUUUUUAAGUCUGAUGUGAAAGCCCUCGGCUUAACCGAGGAAGCGCAUCGGAAACUGGGAAACUUGAGUGCAGAAGAGGACAGUGGAACUCCAUGUGUAGCGGUGUUU